GGGUGCGAGGGCAUGGAGCUCGAGCGGUCCGUAAAACCGCGGCGCGAUCGCGCACGGUGGUUCGAUUCCACCCGUACCCA
rnacentral:tRNA from 1 species